rnacentral:pre_miRNA from 1 species
AGUGGCAGGGCAAAGGAAGCAUGAGCUUUGGGAGUUGUAGGAAUGGAUGCAUAGAGAAAAAUGAAAAUUUAAGCUAGCUUGCUUAUAAGUUGAUUAGUUACUUUUCCUAUGACGUCCAUUCCAAUGAUUUCCAGUUGCUUCUUUCCUUUGCCCAGACUGCU